UCCGAAACGGAAAGUCGUGGGAGACGCGCGGUCCUCCAAACGAAUUCAAAUCGAGGUUCUGGCCGCUCGCUAACGCUUUUUGUUUUUGGCCAACAUAGCGAUUGUUAUAACGCUUAUUUGAUUAACUUGAAAUCUCGUCUGCAGUGCUUCGAAGCCAGAAAGCCCCACAAAAAUUGAUUACCAAAAAGAAAAACCUCUCAAAAUUGUUGUGCCAUACAAGUGGAAAAUUGUUUAACUCGAGGCCAAAGAAGCGAACAUCAGCGAACCAGAAGUAUUAGGAGGAAAGCAGAGGCCAAACCCGAAAACUCAAAGCACAAAACUGCAGGAACCAGCCACGGGCCCAUGCAAAUUCUAACGAAAUCUUCCCGAACCCGAACUCUGCCGUUGGAGCUCUUGCUGUUGCUGGAGCUGGUGCUGGAAGAUACAACAUCCAGAUAGAUUACUUGCAGUGCACAUUUCCGCACUUGG